GCGAAAAAAUUGGCUUUUAUCGGUAAUAAAUAUUUGUGUAAGUUAAUAAAUAUGUUAUUAAGUAUAAAAAAACGGUAUCAAAGUUCAUCAUUUCACGUGUUGUUUUGUUAUUAAAGACUUGUAAAUGACUGUUUUAAGUGUAUAAUAUAUCUAAGAACAUAGUAAAACGUAAUUUACGUAGAUAAGAAGAAGAUAUUUACAUAUGUAAAAUUGAAUAAGGUGAGAAGAUUUUGAACAGGACAAUAGCAUUUAUAAAUAAUACAUUCGAUACUUUCCAUCUAGAUAGAAUAUCUACUUUUGAAUACUACAACAAAAUAGAUCCACUGUAAAAAGAGGCCACUGGUAAAAUUCAUCUUAUUUCAAAUGGUACGCUCGUGUCUUUGUAAAUUCCUCAUUUGAAAUUUUUUAUCAAGCAGUACGCGUAUCGUAUUUUGUUUGUGUUUUAUAUCAUAUAUGUUAAUACAAAUUGAAAACUAUUUGAUAUCUUGCACAUAAUUACAACAUCAUGAAAGUGAUUAAAGUGUAAUGCUCAUUCAGGCAUACUUAAUGAUGCAAUGCCACAAUUAUACAUACUGUUGUAAUCAUACAUCCAAAAAAUUUGCGAAAGAAAAUUUUAUUUAUUGUUGUUAAAAAUUCUAUUAUAUUUUAAUCAUCGACUGAUUUCUGAAGCUAAUUAACACAUCUCUGAAGAAGUGCUUAUCAUUGAAAUUCGUGUAUUCCACGACGGAUGAAGAAACGUCCAGGCAGAUCGGUGGAGCUGUCUGGUCAACGACCGUGAAAAAAUUCGCGUGUUCAACGAUACAACAGGACGCGGGUUAAAUUCACCGACUGUAUGGUACUGUUCGCAAAUGGCGAUUCUACCGAUAGUUUACCUGAACAGUGGCUCGAUCAGCUGACAUUUUACGAUUGAUAAAUUUGAAAUACGAGUUCAAAUUAAUAAAUGCCUAAUUACUCUACU